rnacentral:rRNA from 1 species
CCUACGGGAGGCAGCAGUGAGGAAUAUUGGUCAAUGGGAGAGAUCCUGAACCAGCCAAGCCGCGUGAGGGAAGACGGCCCUAUGGGUUGUAAACCUCUUUUGUCGGAGAACAAAACCCGGGACGUGUCCCGGACUGCGUGUAUCCGAAGAAAAAGCAUCGGCUAACUCCGUGCCAGCAGCCGCGGUAAUACGGAGGAUGCGAGCUUUAUCCGGAUUUAUUGGGGUUAAAGGGUGCGUGGGCGGUCCGUUAAGUCAGCGGUAAAAUGGCGGGGCUCAACCCCGUCGAGCCGUUGAAACUGGCAGACUUGAGUUGGGGAGAGGGAGGUGGAAUGCGAGGUGUAGCGGUGAAAUGCAUAGAGAUCGCGAAGAACUCCGAUUGCGAAGGCAGCGUACCGGCGCCAGACUGACGCUGAGGCACGAAAGCGUGGGGAUCGAACAGGAUUAGAUACCCUGGUAGUC